UCCGUCAGGUCACAGCCAAAGGCGCUGGCGGCUCCCUUUCGUUUCAGCUUCUGCUUGGCACCCUUGUUCUUCAUGAGUUAGUCCCAAAGAGGUUGCCCCUCCGUCUUCCCCUCCCCGCUGCUUGGCACCGCGCCUGCGAUGGUCUCCGGGGGAGACACUUAAAGAGUAAUGACGGAAACAAAAACAGGGAUUCCAGCGGAGAAACCUGACGGGGAGCGGUUUUCAGCCGGCCACUCCCAACCUUCCACCCUCAUUUCCGGCGCCCAGGAAUUUACUGUACCAAAGGCUUUCAUAUUUGACCGACAGUGCAUUUCAUCAUUUUGGUAGCAAAGGAGAGAGGCUAAAGGGUUGCUCUUUUCCUGGGUCCAGACCCCUAAGCACAAAUUAUGGCUCUCAACUAUCUACACCUUAUGGUGGGAAGAACUCACAAUUUAUCAGGCUGGAUAAUGAAGCUACACGGUGACAGCCUGACCCAGGGAGCUGGAAGGUUGCCCUCUCCCGGUUUGCUCCCCACCCCCUCUCAUUGCUGAGUAAGCCCUGUGAUAAUUGCCGAAUUUAAAUCUAGCCCUUGUUCUGGACACUCUCCUUCUAUUUUUCUUUCUCUUCCCAUUUUUCUUUUUCUCUUUGCUUACUCUAAGAUGUGUACCUUUCUCUGGGUCUGUGGAAGGAAGUCAGA